UUCUUCUGACCUCCUUUACUUAUCUUUUACUCUACAAACCAGUGCAAUGAAUCCUGCAAGAUUUGUGGAAGUCAUCAAUACUCCCAGAGAGAAGACGUGGUGGGAUGACAGAGCGGCUGGAUGUAAUCAAUGUGUGCUCGCAGUAAUAUGGACUUUGACAACCUGCUCAUCUACAAUGUUGCUGGGAUCAAAAGAGAAAACAGCUGACUGAGUCUUAAUCGAGGUAAGUGGAGGACUGUCGGGAGUCAGAAGGACGGGCUGUUGUUUGAAGUGCUGGGGCGCACGCAGCCGAGGUAAUUGUGUCUGACGGGCGGCGAUAAUGAUGAGGCGCAGAUCAGAUCAACUGCAGAUCCCCUGCCUCCAACCCCCUGCUGCUCGUCUUCACUUUUCCCUUCUCUCCUAAUUGACCGGGCCGCAUCUCCCCCGAGCCCCUUUGUUAUUAUUUAUUAAUAAUUCAUUGCUAAAUAAUUCACACCCUUGGACCCGCAGUGUUAAUUGAGCUGCAGCGCUGGUGGGUGUGUGAGACUGAGGGGGUAGAAGAAAGGAGAAGGGAAGGGGGGAGGUUUGAAAAGUAGAGAUGAAGUGGGAAGUGGGCCUUCCUCGACUUGUACGGGAUCAAAACCAGGGAAAAGGUUAGUUUUGUUGUGGAUACUGAAGGAGCUCAGGGGCAUCUGGACAUCACAGUUUUGUGUCUGUUUGAGGCUGAGAGCAAGAGAAUCAAUAAAGCUCUUUAUAAUUAGAGGUAAAGGGUUAAUUCUCACUCAGGUCACAUUCACCUCCAUUCACACUCUUUGCAUGAUUUAUAUCUAAAUUACAAAAGGGGGAUACAUACAUCAAAUUUUGAUAUUUACCUGGCCACGCUUUUGAUUGAUUAGGCUGCUGAGUGUUCAACUCAGUUCAUAUAUGAAUAUAAUUUUUUAUCGUGAUCAGUUAGAAUUGACGAAAAAGUACAUCUGUAACAAUGAGUUGAUAAAUCGAUUGUUUCAGUUGUCAGAGAGUAAUCAGCAACGAUCACUGAAUUAAAGACAACACACAUUUACUUACUGCAGCAUCUCUGUUGUGAAGAUUUGCUGCUUUUCUUUUACAACAUUACAGAUGGAAAAUCUUUUGGUACAGAUUUUUGCCUAGAAAAUAGUAUUUCAUAUGCAGACGAAACAUUUGGCUUUAUUAAACUGUGAUGGAGAUUUCUCACUUUUUUCUUACACGACACACAUAACAAAUCUUUUAAUCAAGAAUAGAAUCGGCGUUGUGAAAUAUAAUUUAAAUAAUAAUUAGUUGCAGCACUAUUGGAAAGUAUAGAUGACAUAGAACUGUCGCAAAGACCUUGUAGUGAGUGAGAAGUGAGUGAAAAUGUGAUAUUAAAGUAGAGUUAUAUACAAAUUUAGAUGUAAUUCAUAUGCAUUUAUACAAAACCCAAUAUAUACACUGCAACAGAAAUGAAAGUUUAUUUGUUUCAGAUAACUUAUUAUAGCAGCAGUAAAUUCAUCCAUCACUGGAAAUACGA